AUAGCGUGCUACCUAUCUUUCA
rnacentral:miRNA from 1 species